rnacentral:rRNA from 1 species
UACGUAGGGUCCGAGCGUUGUCCGGAAUUAUUGGGCGUAAAGGGCUCGUAGGCGGUUUGUCGCGUCGGGCGUGAAAACUCAGGGCUCAACCCUGAGCGUGCUUCCGAUACGGGCAGACUAGAGGUAUGCAGGGGAGAACGGAAUUCCUGGUGUAGCGGUGAAAUGCGCAGAUAUCAGGAGGAACACCGGUGGCGAAGGCGGUUCUCUGGGCAUUACCUGACGCUGAGGAGCGAAAGUGUGGGGAGCGAACAGG